UGGGGAAUAUUGCACAAUGGGCGCAAGCCUGAUGCAGCCAUGCCGCGUGUGUGAAGAAGGCCUUCGGGUUGUAAAGCACUUUCAGCGAGGAGGAAGGUGGUGAGCUUAAUACGCUCAUCAAUUGACGUUACUCGCAGAAGAAGCACCGGCUAACUCCGUGCCAGCAGCCGCGGUAAUACGGAGGGUGCAAGCGUUAAUCGGAAUUACUGGGCGUAAAGCGCACGCAGGCGGUUUGUUAAGUCAGAUGUGAAAUCCCCGGGCUCAACCUGGGAACUGCAUUUGAAACUGGCAAGCUAGAGUCUCGUAGAGGGGGGUAGAAUUCCAGGUGUAGCGGUGAAAUGCGUAGAGAUCUGGAGGAAUACCGGUGGCGAAGGCGGCCCCCUGGACGAAGACUGACGCUCAGGUGCGAAAGCGUGGGGCAGCAAACAGGAUUAGAUACCCUGGUAGUCCACGCUGUAAACGAUGUCGAUUUUGGAGGUUGUGCCCUUGAGGCGUGGCUUCCGGAGCUAACGCGUUAAAUCGACCGCCUGGGGAGUACGGCCGCAAGGUUAAAACUCAAAUGAAUUGACGGGUCUAGCUGUUCC
rnacentral:rRNA from 1 species